rnacentral:lncRNA from 1 species
AGAAAAUAUUUAAGUUUUUAAACUGAGGUGUGUGGUAUAAAAGCUCCAUUGUUUCACUUAAUCUUGUAUGUAACACUUUUUAAUUGCCAUAAAUUUUAUCAUAAAGAUCUGUGACGUUAUUAAGAAACACUUUGGUUAUCUAAAUCAUUUUAGCAUCUAAUAGUGCUUAUUUAUUCUUUAAAUUUAUGUUUGCUCAAUAUUGUGAGCAAUUGAGAGGCCAUUCAUCUUGUCUUUGUUUCCUAUAAAUAUGGUUUGGAGUUUCCCAUUUUUCUUAAAUAUACCAUUCCUAAAAGGCUAUGUGCAAAAUUCUUGAAUAAGCCAUUUAUUAUCACACCCUAAACUCAUGUAUCAGGAGCAUAUAACUCUCCUGUCACUUCUACCCAACAGGAUAAAAAGAUAAGAGACAAUUCUUUUCUGUCACUUUUUCUUAACUGUAGUUGACACAUUUUGUUAGAAACAAAACUAGAAUAAAAAUAGUUUUUUUUUUCCCUAGUAUAACAUGAGAUUAGGAUAAAUUCUUAGGGUAAAUUAAUAUAAUCAGCACUCUUGGUUUUUAGCUUAGUAUCUAAAUUUAUUAUAUCUGUCCCACCCUAUUUUUUUCCCUCAAACUACAACUUUUUUGUCUUCCCCUACUGAAUAACAUCUUUUUUCUCGGGCUAUGUCAGGAGCCUGGGAAACUAAAAUUAGUCACAGAGAGAAACGACAACAGCGUAAACGUGAUAAAGUGCUGACUGAUUCUGGUUCAUUGGAUUCAACUAUCCCUGGGAUAGAAAAUAUCAUCACAGUUACCACCGAGCAACUUACAACUGCAUCAUUUCCUGUUGGUUCCAAGAAGAAUAAAGGUAUAUUAGUGGAACAUAAGAGUGGUACAUCAAAUCAAACUCCUUUAAGCCAGAUGUACAAAAUAUGUCACAAUCUUUUUGAACUGCUAACUUUGUGCUGAUAUACCCUUCUUCAUGAGAGUUUUGUGAACCACAUCCUGGUUUACCAUGUAACAGCAGUGUUGUUAAUAUUGCCUAAUGAAUGGCUUAUUAAAUUAAAAUUUGCCUUUCUGCCUUGAGUCACAUUAGAGAAUGUUGUUGCUGCUUUUCCUUGUGUGUGUUGCUUUGCCCCAAUCCUCUUACAUCUCCAUUUCUUACAGUGGAUAAAACAUUGAUUAAAUGGAAUAUUUAUCACCAUUCUGCAUGUUGGGCACUUUCAUUCCAAGAUGAAACAAGCAUGUUCUGGUUAGUGCAGGUUCUGUCUAUCCACCCCAGUUUUUUUGUUUUGUUUCUGGCAAUUCUAUAGGUAUUAAUAAAGCUAAACCAGAAUUUCAAAGAUGAUUGAGCCAAUGUCCUUCCUACCAAGUACUCAGAUGCGUAAGCAAUCCAAUAUUGAUAGCUACUUCAUGGGAGCACUAGUUUAUUUCCUUUGUCUUUUGUUAGUGACCUCCCUUUUUUCUAUCCCUUAGUUGUUAGCAGAUCACCUUCUUAACCUCGUUUUUGUUUUUUUUUUUUUGUUUGUUUGUUUGUUUUGUUUUGCCUGCUGACUUAACUGAAAUUGUUGCCAUAGUACAGUAAUGAACUUUCCUUAUUCAUUCUGCUGUCAUAUAUUAUCAGUGCUUUGAUGGUGACUCUUACUGAUUUGGGCAUGCCUGCCUUGCUUGCACUUUGUGUUUCAUGGGAUUUGAGUUUGGUUUGGUUUUGGUACAUUGUGAUAAUUGUGCUUAUUUUGUGCCAGAGAAUUGGAAUUUUUAUGUUAAAACAUAAAUUCUCACUUUUUAACCAUAUUUCCUAUGUUAUAAUCCCAAAUGUGGCAACAGUUUUCUUAAAUUGGUGUGCUUGCUUCUGGGAUUAUUGAAAAGGCAGCUCAUGUUAAGAUGAGGCAAAGUUGAAUCCAAUUUCAGAGUUCAAUGUUUCAGUUCCUACCUAAAAGAACCCUCAGAAUUCAGAAGCAUUGCAGAAUAAUGGUCCCUUACUUGUAUUUUGGCAAUUUUCUAGGAUUUGGCAUUUUAAUUGAUUAAAAAGACUCAAUUCCCUGUGAACAUGUGAAAUAUGUUGUAAAAUCACUUUUUCCAAUGUCAAAACUGGCACUUGAAGGAGCAAUUUAUUAUAGAUCACAAUUGUAUGUUCCACUUGAUUUAAUGUGCACAGUAGCCUGUUUAGUAUUAAAUAAAUUUUAUUUCUAUUUCAACCCAGGUGAUUCUCAUCUAAAUGUUCAAGUUAGCAACUUUAAGUCUGGAAAAGGAGAUUCUACACUGCAGGGUGAGAGAAAUUACAUGACACUUAACCUGAAGGCCAAUCAAAAUAGAAACUUUACUACAUGUGUCUUUCCUUAUAUGAUGUUAAAGGAAAGAAAAGGGAUUAAAGAUGUUUUUAAUUUCUUAAUUAAUAUGAUCAUAGUCCAGAGAAUUUGAAAAAUGGAAAAGGAAGAUCAUUCACACUCGGAGUUUGGUAUGUUGUAGCUCCACACACACACAGAUAUAAAAACAUUCAGUAGUAAUUUAUGUACAGUUUUGCUUCUUGCAUCAUUUACUCCAAGAGAGAAGGAUCUUUGUUGGACAUGAAUGUAAUAUGGGCAUGUUUGGGAUAAAAGACUAUUCUAUAUCUUAAGAAAAUGUAGUUCCUAUAAAUUUUAAUGGCUUCCUUGAUGGUAUCAAAUAUGUUAUAAUGAAUUUAGUUUAAGGUUAUUGAGUGCUUCACAAACAAAAUUAACCUAAUUUGCUCAUUAUUCAUCACUGCAGGAAGAGCAGUAUACCAGCCUAAAAGCAAAAGUGUCACAGGAAAAGUGUCACCUUCUCAUUUUGUGCUUGUUCUUUUUUGUUUGUUUGUUUGUUUUAAGAUUUAUUUACUUCGUUUAUGUGAGCACACUGCCACUGUCUUCAGACACACCAGAAGAGGGCAUUGGAUCCCAUUACAGAUGGUUAUGAGCCACCAUGUGGUUGCUGGGAAUUGAACUCAAGGACCUCUGGAAGAGUCAGUGCUCUUAACCACUGAGCCAUCUCUCCAGCUCUUUGUGCUUGGUCUUAACACCAUUGCUUGCUCUAUGCCCUCAUGCCUCAUAUCUCAAUUCUGGCUACCCAUCUCGGAAUCAAUCAAUCAAUCAAUCAAUCUCUCUCUCUCUCUCUCUCUCUCUCUCACACACACACACACACACACACACGCACACACACACACACACUCACACACACUCACUCAAAGCCUAGACUCUAUCCUUGAGGUCCUGACAUUGAUUUGGUCUUGGCUGAUGCCAUAGAGUCUCUUUAAAUUUCUCAUUUGGUUCUAAUGUGCAGUCAUUAUAUGUAAUAUAAUAUACAAAAUUAUAUCGAAGGGAAGAACAUGUAACUAAGGAGAAGUCUUCAUUUUCAUAGUGGGUGAGUAUUCAGAGUAUACUAGAUAUGUGUUUUCAGUUAGUCAUUUUGCUAUUGAGAACAUCACUAGUAUGCAUUUUCUGUUGACUUUUAAAUUAAGGAAUCUGUUAGCCAGGCAUUGUGGUGCAUGCUUGUAAUCCCAGCAUAUCGAGGGAGAGGUAGGGGAACCAUGAGACUUAUGUAAGCUACGUAGUGAGACCCUAUCUCAGAAACAAACUUUAAAAUCAUGUAAGAACUUCAUAGCUUACCUUCUUAUACUCAGGCUACUUAAAGGACACUAACAGGGAAGGAAAGAGUACUAAGUACUGAUAAGCUGAGCUAUCAUAGAAAUACAGAAUUACCCCAUUUUUUUAACAAGAAACCAUAUAUCUGUUUUUAAUCUUUACUUUCUUUUAAGUUUCUUCAAGGCUGAAUGAAAAUCUUACUGUCAAUGGAGGAGGCUGGAGUGAAAAGUCUGUAAAACUCUCCUCACAAUUGAGUGAGGAGAAGUGGAACUCUGUCCCACCUGCUUCUGCAGGCAAGAGGAAAACAGAGCCAUCGGCUUGGACUCAAGACACUGGUGACACUAAUGCAAAUGGGAAAGACUGGGGAAGGAAUUGGAGUGAUCGCUCAAUAUUUUCUGGCAUUGGAUCUACUGCUGAGCCAGUUUCUCAGUCUACCACUUCUGAUUAUCAGUGGGAUGUUAGCCGUAAUCAACCUUAUAUCGAUGAUGAAUGGUCUGGGUUAAGUAUGUCCUUUUAAAUUUUUUCAGUUACUUCUCUCAGAAUUUUCUUUUUAGUACCCUGAAUUCAUGCUUUAUGUCUUAAUUUUAAUCCUAAUUUACCCCUUUUAUAGGUCAUAGUAAUAUAAUUUAACACCAACUGUAUACUACUUGGAACUUGACUCUGAAUACUUAUGGAACUAAAACUAACUUUCUCUAAUGACUAAGGCGGUGUUAGUUUUAUUAGUUCUAUAGGACUAAUUUUUUGGUUUCUUUUCUGUUUUAAAUAAAUAGUUUUAUUUUGCUGGUUUUAGUAUAAAAGAAGAAAUAGACAAUAGCUAUGGCUUUGAAUUAAUUGUGAUAUAUGCACAUUUUUGUGCUAGUUGACAACCAUAGCCCAAUUUCCAAUAGAAACAUAUGUUUAAAAGAAAUAAUUUUAAAAAGGAGGGAGAGUGUGUGUGUGUGUGUGUGUGUGUGUGUGUGUGUGUAACCUGGGCAUUGUGGCACCCCAUUGUGCCAGGAAACCAAGGCAAGGCUGAUUGAUCUCUGUGAGUGAAAGGGCAGUCUGAUCUAUGCAGGAGUGAUACAAGAUCCUGUUCUCAAAAUAAAAGUU